GCGCUGCUGAGGAGUCCCACAAUAGAACGAGACGGCUGUCCAGUGC
rnacentral:hammerhead_ribozyme from 1 species